UACGUAGGAGGCGAGCGUUGUCCGGAGUUACUGGGCGUAAAGGGCACGCAGGCGGUCGCAUGCGUUCUGGGUGACAGUUGUCAGCUUAACUGACAAAGGCCCUGGGAAACGGUGCGACUUGAGGGCUUCAGAGGGAGAGAGAAUUCCGGGUGGAGUGGUGAAAUGCGUAGAGAUCCGGAGGAAUACCAAAGGCGAAGGCACUCUCCUGGGAAGCAUCUGACGCUCAUGUGCGAAAGCUAGGGGAGCGAACGGG
rnacentral:rRNA from 1 species